GCCAGUGUGACAUAAUGGUUGAGCAUUAGACUGUGACUCUGGUGACCAAGGUUUGAAUCCCUCCUCAGCCA